CAUGCCCCUUAUACGCUGGGCUACACACGUGCUACAAUGGGUAGAACAGAGAGUCGCAAAGCUGUGAAGUGGAGCUAAUCUCAGAAAACUAUUCUUAGUUCGGAUUGUACUCUGCAACUCGAGUACAUGAAGUUGGAAUCGCUAGUAAUCGCGAAUCAGCAAUGUCGCGGUGAAUACGUUCUCGGGUCUUGUACACACCGCCCGUCACACCACGAGAGUUGGUUGCACCUGAAGUAGCAGGCCUAACCGUAAGGAGGGAUGCUCCGAGGGUGUGAUUAGCGAUUGGGGUGAAGUCGUAACAAGGUAUCCGUACGGGAACGUGCGGAUGGAUCACCUCCUUUCUAAGGAGUAUAAGUCUUUCUCUAUUCUAUUGGUAAUGUUCUUUACAUUACUUCUGAACAUUGGAAACUAUAUAGUAGAACAAACAAGAAAAAAAAUUAACUCUAACAAUUUCUUAGAGUUAGCUGUCAAAAAAAAUAGGUUAAAAUAAUUAAGGGCACACAAAGGAUGCCUAGGUAGUAAGAGCCGAUGAAGGACGUGGUAAGCUGCGAUAAGCCUAG
rnacentral:sRNA from 1 species